rnacentral:rRNA from 1 species
CUUUGAACGCACCUUGCGCUCCUUGGUAUUCCGAGGAGCAUGCCUGUUUGAGUUGUCAUU